CAUCAUGCCCCGUUAUGACCUGGGCACACACGUGCUACAAUGGGCGGUACAAAGGGUCGCGAACCCGCGAGGGGGAGGCCAAUCCCCAAAAAAGCCGCUCUCAGUUCGGAUUGCAGGCUGCAACUCGCCUGCAUGAAGCCGGAAUCGCUAGUAAUCGCGGAUCAGCAUGCCGCGGUGAAUACGUUCCCGGGCCUU
rnacentral:rRNA from 1 species